AUACUUACCUGGCAGAGACACCACCAUGAUCAAGAAGGUGGUUCACCCAGGAGGCGGGGGAGCUUCGACCAUUGCACUCGGUUGUGCUGACCCCUCGCGAAUUCCCCAAAUGUGGGAAUCUACGACUGCACUAAUUUCUGGUAGUGGGUGACUGCGUUCGCGCUCUCCCCUG